UUGUUGAUCCAAGGGCCGUCGAGGCUUGAUCUUGGACGAACAGUUGAUGAAUGAUGAACACCUUCUUCAAGGGCCGUCGGGGCUUGAUCUUGAAUGGGUGGAAGUUCUUCAAGGGGCGUUGGAGCUUGAUCUUGAAGGAGGAUUUCACGAAGAACAGAUAGGGUUUUCUUGAUCCUUCGGGAUUUGCUUGAGAGCUUCAGAGUUUCGAGGCUUCAAAGCUUUGGUGUGGUGUGAUUUCUCUUCCAAUUUGGGAGUAGAGAAAGUGUAUCUAAAAUCCCCCCUUUGAUUCUUUGAUGGAGGAGCCUAUUUAUAGGCUUUGGGAAUGAACCACCACCAUCCAUUUGUUUUGGUGGAUGUUGUAGGUGAAUUGGUGGAUUGUUGUGAAUUUGGGUGGAGGUUGUAGGUGAAUUUGGAUGGAUUGUUGUAGGUGAAUUUGGGUGUAUGUUGUAGGUGAAUUUGGGUAGGAUUGUUGUAGGUGAAUUUGGGUGUAUGUUGUAGGUGAAUUUGGGUGAAGGUUGUAGGUGAAUUUGGAUGGAUUGUUGUAGGUGAAUUUGGGUGUAUGUUGUAGGUGAAUUUGGGU
rnacentral:sRNA from 1 species